GUCAGGAUGGCUGAGUGGUCUAAGGCGCUGUGUUCAGGUCGCAGUCUCCCCUGGAGGCGUGGGUUUGAAUCCCACUCCUGACA
rnacentral:tRNA from 2 species